AGUGAACGCUGGCGGUAGGCCUAACACAUGCAAGUCGAACGGCAGCACAGGAGAGCUUGCUCUCUGGGUGGCGAGUGGCGGACGGGUGGGGAAUACAUCGGAAUCUACUCUGUCGUGGGGGAUAACGUAGGGAAAAUUACGCUAAUACCGCAUACGACCUACGGGUGAAAGCAGGGGACCUUCGGGCCUUGCGCGAUUGAAUGAGCCGAUGUCGGAUUAGCUAGUUGGCGGGGUAAAGGCCCACCAAGGCGACGAUCCGUAGCUGGUCUGAGAGGAUGAUCAGCCACACUGGAACUGAGACACGGUCCAGACGCCUACGGGAGGCAGCAGUGGGGAAUAUUGGACAAUGGGCGCAAGCCUGAUCCAGCCAUACCGCGUGGGUGAAGAAGGCCUUCGGGUUGUAAAGCCCUUUUGUUGGGAAAGAAAUCCAGCUGGCUAAUACCCGGUUGGGAUGACGGUACCCAAAGAAUAAGCACCGGCUAACUUCGUGCCAGCCGCCGCCGUAA
rnacentral:rRNA from 1 species